AGAGUUUGAUCAUGGCUCAGAUUGAACGCUGGCGGCAGGCCUAACACAUGCAAGUCGAGCGGUAGCACAAGAGAGCUUGCUCUCUGGGUGACGAGCGGCGGACGGGUGAGUAAUGUCUGGGAAACUGCCUGAUGGAGGGGGAUAACUACUGGAAACGGUAGCUAAUACCGCAUGACGUCUUCGGACCAAAGUGGGGGACCUUCGGGCCUCACGCCAUCAGAUGUGCCCAGAUGAGAUUAGCUAGUAGGUGGGGUAAUGGCUCACCUAGGCGACGAUCUCUAGCUGGUCUGAGAGGAUGACCAGCCACACUGGAACUGAGACACGGUCCAGACUCCUACGGGAGGCAGCAGUGGGGAAUAUUGCACAAUGGGCGCAAGCCUGAUGCAGCCAUGCCGCGUGUAUGAAGAAGGCCUUCGGGUUGUAAAGUACUUUCAGCGAGGAGGAAGGCAUUAAGGUUAAUAACCUUAGUGAUUGACGUUACUCGCAGAAGAAGCACCGGCUAACUCCGUGCCAGCAGCCGCGGUAAUACGGAGGGUGCAAGCGUUAAUCGGAAUUACUGGGCGUAAAGCGCACGCAGGCGGUUGAUUAAGUCAGAUGUGAAAUCCCCGAGCUUAACUUGGGAACUGCAUUUGAAACUGGUCAGCUAGAGUCUUGUAGAGGGGGGUAGAAUUCCAGGUGUAGCGGUGAAAUGCGUAGAGAUCUGGAGGAAUACCGGUGGCGAAGGCGGCCCCCUGGACAAAGACUGACGCUCAGGUGCGAAAGCGUGGGGAGCAAACAGGAUUAGAUACCCUGGUAGUCCACGCUGUAAACGAUGUCGACUUGGAGGUUGUGCCCUUGAGGCGUGGCUUCCGGAGCUAACGCGUUAAGUCGACCGCCUGGGGAGUACGGCCGCAAGGUUAAAACUCAAAAUGAAUUGACGGGGGCCCGCACAAGCGGUGGAGCAUGUGGUUUAAUUCGAUGCAACGCGAAGAACCUUACCUACUCUUGACAUCCAGAGAAUUUGCUAGAGAUAGCUUAGUGCCUUCGGGAACUCUGAGACAGGUGCUGCAUGGCUGUCGUCAGCUCGUGUUGUGAAAUGUUGGGUUAAGUCCCGCAACGAGCGCAACCCUUAUCCUUUGUUGCCAGCGAAUAAUGUCGGGAACUCAAAGGAGACUGCCGGUGAUAAACCGGAGGAAGGUGGGGAUGACGUCAAGUCAUCAUGGCCCUUACGAGUAGGGCUACACACGUGCUACAAUGGCAUAUACAAAGAGAAGCGAACUCGCGAGAGCAAGCGGACCUCAUAAAGUAUGUCGUAGUCCGGAUUGGAGUCUGCAACUCGACUCCAUGAAGUCGGAAUCGCUAGUAAUCGUAGAUCAGAAUGCUACGGUGAAUACGUUCCCGGGCCUUGUACACACCGCCCGUCACACCAUGGGAGUGGGUUGCAAAAGAAGUAGGUAGCUUAACCUUCGGGAGGGCGCUUACCACUUUGUGAUUCAUGACUGGGGUGAAGUCGUAACAAGGUAACCGUAGGGGAACCUGCGGUUGGAUCACCU
rnacentral:rRNA from 1 species